rnacentral:lncRNA from 10 species
AAAAGAAAAGAAUGAAAAUCCAGGAUGCAACAAUCUAUUCUACUAUCUAAUCUCCCUUUUUCCACUCUUUGUUUUCAUUUUUUUUUAAUGCUGCUCUGAGAGAUCCAAAAUUAGACAUGAAUUUUCUUGAAGGUUAAGUCUUCUUUUUGCAUUUGUUUCCAGGACACACCUGACCCUCACAUACAAGAAACACUGCCUUCUGCAGGGAAAAGAUUCAACAAUUCCAAGUCCGUCAUCUAAGAUCCUUUACUCUCUUUUCUCUACAAGAUAAGAAUAAAAUUCAAUCACGGACCUAAGUAGGUGGAAGCUUGCAAGUCAAAACAUUCAAAAGAAAUGAAGAUUUCUACAUACCCAAGAACUAAUGAGCUAGCCAGUGAGUGAGUCAUUAUCCAUUUAUGUCACAGAUGGAAGCUUCUAAGUCAAAACAUUCAGAAGAAAUGAAGAUUUCUACAUACCCAAGAACCACUCAGCUAGCCAGUGAGUGAGUCAU